UUCUAUGGCCAUGCUACCCUGAACAAGCCUGAUCUCACCUGAUCUUCGAAGCUAAGCAGAGUUGAGUCUGAUUAGUACUUGGAGGGGAGACCACCUAGGAAGACCAAGUGUUGUAGGCA
rnacentral:rRNA from 1 species